rnacentral:lncRNA from 1 species
GCGUCGGCCGCGGUCAUGGGAGCAGCUUCCCUUCGACGAGUCGAGUCGAGACGAACCCUAGAGAAGAAGCCGCCAAAGCGGAGGAGGCGUGGAAGCGAGAGGGAGAUGUGGAGAGAGAGAGAGGAGGAAGGCGAGGGAGAGAUGUGGGAAUGGUGGGGGAGGAGCGAGGAGGAAAUGAGGGGGGCGUGGAGGCGAACCGAGCCCACGGCGUGGCGUCCGGGUUUUUAAACGCGCGGAAUAAAAGCCCACAUAUGGCCAAUAAAAUAAUCCAUUCCCACCACUAGUACUACUCACCACCACCUGUAC